rnacentral:tRNA from 1 species
GGAAAUGUGGCUUAGUGGUAGAGUACUUGCCUAGCAUGCAUGAAGUCCUGGGUUCAAUUCCUCAGCACCA